GACAGAGGGUGCAAACGUUGUUCGGAAUUACUGGGCGUAAAGCGCGUGUAGGCUGUUCGGUAAGUCGGGUGUGAAAGCCCCGGGCUCAACCCGGGAAGUGCACUCGAAACUCCCGAACUGGAGUCCUGGAGAGGAAGGCGGAAUUCUCGGUGUAGAGGUGAAAUUCGUAGAUAUCGAGAGGAACAUCGGUGGCGAAGGCGGCCUUCUGGACAGUGACUGACGCUGAGACGCGAAAGCGUGGGGAGCAAACAGG
rnacentral:rRNA from 1 species